rnacentral:rRNA from 1 species
GACUACAGGGGUAUCUAAUCCUGUUUGCUCCCCACGCUUUCGUGCCUCAGCGUCAAUUCCGGCCCAGUAAGCUGCCUUCGCCAUUGGUGUUCCUCCAUAUAUCUACGCAUUCCACCGCUACACAUGGAAUUCCACUUACCUCUACCGUAUUCAAGAUUGCCAGUUUCAUUCGCCUUACUCAGUUAGGCUGAGAUCUUUUACAAAUGACUUAACAUUCCGCCUACGCACGCUUUACGCCCAAUAAUUCCGGAUAACGCUCGCCCCCUACGUAUUACCGCGGCUGCUGGCACGUAGUUAGCCGGGGCUUUCUAAUUGGGUACCGUCAAUAUAUACCCAUUUCCUGGUAUAUACCUUCUUUCCCGAUAACAGAACUUUACAGUCCGAAGACCUUCUUCAUUCACGCGGCAUUGCUCGGUCAGGGUUCCCCCCAUUGCCGAAAAUUCCCCACUGCAGCCGCCCGUAGG